rnacentral:rRNA from 1 species
AAAACUUUCAACAACGGAUCUCUUGGCUCUGGCAUCGAUGAAGAACGCAGCGAAAUGCGAUAAGUAAUGUGAAUUGCAGAAUUCAGUGAAUCAUCGAAUCUUUGAACGCACAUUGCGCCCGCUGGUAUUCCAGCGGGCAUGCCCGUUCGAGCGUCAUUUUAAUCCCUUCCCGUCGAGACUCUUCUAUUCUGUAGUGGAGUGUCAGCGGGGCGUUGGCACUGGGCGCCUUAUUUGUUUAGGCGGCCCGAGCCGAAAUGAAGCGGCGGACUCGCGGCGGCCCCUAGCGCAGUAGAAACAACCCCUUCUCGCUUAGGAGAGCCGCAGCGGCGGACCACAGCCUCUACUACAUGCUUUUUUUACAAAAGCUACAUACCAAAACUUGACCUCGGAUCGGGUAGGACUACCCGCUGAACUUAAGCAUAUCAAUAAGCGGAGGAAAAGAAACCAACAGGGAUUGCCUUAGUAACGGCGAGUGAAGCGGCAACAGCUCAGAUUUGAAAUCUGGCCUUCGGGUCCGAGUUGUAAUCUGUAGAGGAUGCUUCGGGUGAGGUGCCUUCCGAGUGCCCUGGAACGGGACGCCAUAGAGGGUGAGAGCCCCGUCUGGUUGGAUGCCAAAUCUCUGUAAAGUUCCUUCAACGAGUCGAGUAGUUUGGGAAUGCUGCUCUAAAUGGGAGGUAUAUGUCUUCUAAAGCUAAAUACCGGCCAGAGACCGAUAGCGCACAAGUAGAGUGAUCGAAAGAUGAAAAGAACUUUGAAAAGAGAGUUAAAAAGUACGUGAAAUUGUUGAAAGGGAAGCGCUUGUGACCAGACUUGGGCUUGGUUGAUCAUCCGGGGUUCUCCCCGGUGCACUCUUCCGGCUCAGGCCAGCAUCAGUUCGCCCUGGGGGAUAAAGGCUUCGGGAAUGUGGCUCUCUCCGGGGAGUGUUAUAGCCCGCUGCGUAAUACCCUGUGGCGGACUGAGGUUCGCGCAUUCGCAAGGAUGCUGGCGUAAUGGUCAUCAGUGACCCGUCUUGAAACACGGACC